rnacentral:rRNA from 2 species
CAUCGUUGCCCCUGUGCCUUGGCCAUGUCCUAGGCACCGAGCGGGGCGAAUGUUGGCUUCCCGCGAGCAUUGUCUCACGGUUGGUUGAAAACUGAGUCCGCGGUGGAGGGCGCCGUGAUGGAUGGUGGCUGAGUUAAUUCUCGAGACCGAUCGUGUGUGUCACCCCCACUAGCUUUGUGACUCUGUGACCCAUGGGAUCUGUUGAUCGUCCAAGACGGGA